GAUGAACGCUGGCGGCGUGCCUAAUACAUGCAAGUCGAGCGAACGGACGAGAAGCUUGCUUCUCUGAUGUUAGCGGCGGACGGGUGAGUAACACGUGGAUAACCUACCUAUAAGACUGGGAUAACUUCGGGAAACCGUAGCUAAUACCGGAUAAUAUUUUGAACCGCAUGGUUCAAAAGUGAAAGACGGUCUUGCUGUCACUUAUAGAUGGAUCCGCGCUGCAUUAGCUAGUUGGUAAGGUAACGGCUUACCAAGGCAACGAUGCAUAGCCGACCUGAGAGGGUGAUCGGCCACACCGGAACUGAGACACGGUCCAGACUCCUACGGGAGGCAGCAGUAGGGAAUCUUCCGCAAUGGGCGAAAGCCUGACGGAGCAACGCCGCGUGAGUGAUGAAGGUCUUCGGAUCUUAAAACUCUGUUAUUAGGGAAGAACAUAUGUGUAAGUAACUGUGCACAUCUUGACGGUACCUAAUCAGAAAGCCACGGCUAACUACGUG
rnacentral:rRNA from 1 species